GAAAUGCGAUAAGUAGUGUGAAUUGCAGACUUUAGUGAAUCAUCGAAUCUUUGAACGCACAUUGCGCCCCUUGGUAUUCCAUUGGGCAUGCCUGUUCGAGCGUCAUUUACACCCUCAAGCUAUGCUUGGUGUUGGGCGUCUGUCCGCGCUUUUUGCGUGGACUCGCCCUAAAUAUAUUGGCAGCGGCAUCGCCGGCUUCUUGCGCAGCACUUUGCGCUCUAGAAGGCUAUCGGCGGGGUUGCGUCCAUUAAGAAACUCCUCAGUUUGACCUCGAAUCAGGUAGGGAUACCCGCUGAACUUAA
rnacentral:misc_RNA from 1 species